rnacentral:misc_RNA from 1 species
UAAGUCAGCCCAACAAGUGGAGUGAAAAAAGUCAUUUAAAGAAGUUAAGCACACAAAACGAAUAAAGAAAGAGAAUUUGGCUAGGGAAAAUUGCAUUGCUCUUGAAGUAAUAUUUUACUAGACUUUUGUGUACAAGUUUUAAUACACUUGAAAAUAUGAAAUAUGAAUGCAAAUGACAUACCUAAAUCCCUAUUUAUAGGCUUCCCCCAUCCUCCUCAACAUGUGGUGGAGAAUGCACCUCCAAAAUGGAAGGCAAGGAUUCGAUCUCUUUCAUCUCCAUAGUUUGGAUGGCUUGGAUGAAGUCUCUUUGGAAGUUGUGCACCUCUUUAACUAGAUAUUUUCAUGACAACUUGCAUGAGGAAUUCUAGAGUUCCUUAGAGGCUAUUCAAAG